AUUACCUCAGUAACGGCGAGUGAAGCGGUAACAGCUCAAAUUUGAAAUCUGGCUCCUGCGGAGUCCGAGUUGUAAUUUGUAGAAGAUGCUUUGGGAGGUAGGCUCGGCCUAAGUUCCUUGGAACAGGACAUCAGAGAGGGUGAGAAUCCCGUAUGUGGCCGUGGCCUACGCCCGUGUAAAGCUCUUUCGACGAGUCGAGUUGUUUGGGAAUGCAGCUCAAAAUGGGUGGUAAAUUUCAUCUAAAGCUAAAUAUUGGCCAGAGACCGAUAGCGCACAAGUAGAGUGAUCGAAAGAUGAAAAGCACUUUGGAAAGAGAGUUAAACAGUACGUGAAAUUGUUGAAAGGGAAGCGCUUGCACCCAGACUUGGGCGUCGUCGAUCAUCCGAGGUUCUCCUCGGUGCACUCGGCGAGGCACAGGCCAGCAUCGGUUUGGAUGGUUGGAGAAAGGCUCUAGGAACGUAGCUCUCUUCGGGGAGUGUUAUAGCCUAGGGCGUAAUGCAGCCCAUCUGGACCGAGGACCGCGCCUUCGGGCUAGGAUGCUGGCGUAAUGGUUGCAAGCG
rnacentral:rRNA from 1 species